UUAAGAUGUUAAGGGCAUACGGUGGAUGCCUUGGCGUCAGGAGGCGAAGAAGGACGUGGAAGGCUGCGAUAAGCCUCGGGGAGCCGUCAAGCAGGCUUUGAUCCGGGGAUUUCCGAAUGGGGCAACCCGGCUAGAGUAAUGUCUAGUCAUCCUUUGACUGAAUACAUAGGUCAUAGGAAGCGAACUCGGGGAAGUGAAACAUCUCAGUACCCGAAGGAAGAGAAAUCAAGAGAGAUUCCGAUAGUAGCGGCGAGCGAACUCGGAAAAGCCUAAACCGUGUGGCUUCGGCCAUGCGGGGUUGUAGGGCCCUAAUAAUCGAUCCAUAAGUAGAUAGCAGAACGUACUGGAAAGUGCGGCCAUAGCGAGUGAGAGCCUCGUAUGCGAAAUCGAAAGUGGCGAGUAGGGUACCUGAGUAGGGCGGGACACGAGAAAUCCCGUUUGAAUCUGGGAGGACCAUCUUCCAAGGCUAAAUACUCCCUGACGACCGAUAGUGUACCAGUACCGUGAGGGAAAGGUGAAAAGAACCCCUGUUAGGGGAGUGCAAUAGAACCUGAAACCGUAUGCCUACAAGCAGUGGGAGCACCUUCGUGGUGUGACCGCGUGCCUUUUGCAUAAUGGGCCAGCGAGUUAAUCUGUAGUGCGAGGUUAAGCCGAUGAGGUGUAGCCGUAGCGAAAGCGAGUCUUAAAUGGGCGACUAGUACUGCGGAUUAGACCCGAAGCCGGGUGAUCUAUCCAUGAGCAGGUUGAAGCUUGGGUAAAGCCAAGUGGAGGACCGAACCGUUGUAAGUUGAAAAUUACUCGGAUGACUUGUGGAUAGGGGUGAAAGGCCAAUCAAACUCGGUGAUAGCUGGUUCUCUCCGAAAUAUAUUGAGGUAUAGCCUCAGGAGUUUACUUGCGGAGGUAGAGCACUGACAGGGCUAGGGGGCUUACCCGCUUACCAAACCCUUUCAAACUCCGAAUGCCGUAAGUUAAGAUCCUGGGAGUCAGACCGCGGGUGAUAAGGUUCGUGGUCGAGAGGGAAAGAGCCCAGACCGACAGCUAAGGCCCCCAAAUCCAUACUAAGUGGGAAAGGAGGUGAAGUCGCAUAGACAGCCAGGAGGUUGGCUUAGAAGCAGCCAUCCUUAAAAGAAAGCGUAAUAGCUCACUGGUCUAGCGACUUUGCGCCGAAAAUGUAACGGGGCUAAGUAUGGUGCCGAAGCUUCGGAAUCAGGUUUACCUGGUUGGUAGGAGAGCGUUCCCAUCUGGGAUGAAGGUAGAUUGGAAAGUCUGCUGGACUGAUGGGAAGUGAAUAUGCUGGCAUGAGUAACGAAAAAACAGGUGAAAAACCUGUUCGCCGUAAACCCAAGGUUUCCUGGGUAAAGUUAAUCUUCCCAGGGUUAGUCGGCCCCUAAGGCGAGGCUGAAAAGCGUAGUUGAUGGGAAACGGGUUAAUAUUCCCGUACCUGCAUAUGUUCGUUUGAACGAUGGGGGGACGCAGGAAGGUAGGUCAUCCGGGUGUUGGAUAUCCCGGUGCAAGCUGGUAGGGAUGAGACGUAGGCAAAUCCGCGUCUCUUUAUCCCGAGAAGUGAUGCCGUGUCGUAAGACUGAAGUGAUUGAGCCUCUACUGCCGAGAAAAGCCUCUAAGUGAGAAGAUAUGCAGACCGUACUGUAAACCGACACAGGUGGGUGGGGUGAGUAACCCAAGGCGUUUGAGAGAACUCUGGUUAAGGAACUCGGCAAAAUUACCCCGUAACUUCGGGAGAAGGGGUGCCAUUUGGGGUGAGCGUAUUUACUUCGCAAGCUUCGAGUGGUCGCAGAGAAAUGGCGGUGGCGACUGUUUACUAAAAACAUAGGACUCUGCUAAGUCGUAAGACGACGUAUAGGGUCUGACGCCUGCCCGGUGCUGGAAGGUUAAGAGGAGAUGUCAGCGCAAGCAAAGCAUUGAAUUGAAGCCCCAGUAAACGGCGGCCGUAACUAUAACGGUCCUAAGGUAGCGAAAUUCCUUGUCGGGUAAGUUCCGACCUGCA
rnacentral:rRNA from 1 species